rnacentral:rRNA from 1 species
GGCAACGGCGAACGGGUGCGUAACACGUGAGCAACUGCCUUUGUGUGGGGGAUAGCCGGGCUAACGCCCGGGUAAUACCGCAUACGGUUCCCGAGAGGAGUCUCUUGGGAAAGAAACCUCCGGGGCACAGAGAGGGGCUCGCGGCCUAUCAGCUAGUUGGCGGGGUAAUGGCCCACCAAGGCGACGACGGGUAGCUGGUCUGAGAGGAUGGCCAGCCACAUUGGGACUGAGAGACGGCCCAGACUCCUACGGGAGGCAGCAGUGGGGAAUCUUGCGCAAUGGGCCGAAAGGCUGACGCAGCGACGGCCGCGUGUGGGAGGACGCCUUUCGGGGUGUAAAACACUGUUGGCCCGGGACGAACAUCCCUUUUCCGAAGGGGGACUUGGACGGUACCCGGGUGAAGAAAGCACCGGGUAAAUCCCGUUGCCAACAGCCGCGGGUA